GAGGAAAAGAAACCAACAGGGAUUGCCUCAGUAACGGCGAGUGAAGCGGCAACAGCUCAAAUUUGAAAUCUGGCUCUUUCAGGGUCCGAGUUGUAAUUUGUAGAGGAUGCUUCGGGCGUGGCGCGGGUCUAAGUUCCUUGGAACAGGACGUCAUAGAGGGUGAGAAUCCCGUAUGCGACCCAUCGCCUCCGUCCAUGUGAAGCUCCUUCGACGAGUCGAGUUGUUUGGGAAUGCAGCUCAAAAUGGGUGGUAAAUUUCAUCUAAAGCUAAAUAUUGGCCAGAGACCGAUAGCGCACAAGUAGAGUGAUCGAAAGAUGAAAAGCACUUUGGAAAGAGAGUUAAAAAGUACGUGAAAUUGUUGAAAGGGAAGCGCUUGCAACCAGACUUGCUCGCGGUUGCUCAGCCGGUGUUCUCACCGGUGCACUCUUCCGCGAUCAGGCCAGCAUCGGUUUGGGCGGCUGGAUAAAGGCUUCGGGAAUGUAGCUCCUCUCGGGGAGUGUUAUAGCCCGGGGUGCAAUGCAGCCUGCCCGGACCGAGGACCGCGCUUCGGCUAGGAUGCUGGCGUAAUGGUUGUAAGCGACCCGUCUUGAAACACGGACCAAGGAGUCUAACAUCUAUGCGAGUGUUUGGGUGUCAAACCCAUGCGCGUAAUGAAAGUGAACGGAGGUGGGAACCCUUAAGGGUGCACCAUCGACCGAUCCUGAUGUUGUCUUCGGAUGGAUUUGAGUAAGAGCAUAGCUGUUGGGACCCGAAAGAUGGUGAACUAUGCCUGAAUAGGGUGAAGCCAGAGGAAACUCUGGUGGAGGCUCGCAGCGGUUCUGACGUGCAAAUCGAUCGUCAAAUUUGGGUAUAGGGGCGAAAGACUAAUCGAACCAUCUAGUAGCUGGUUCCUGC
rnacentral:rRNA from 1 species